ACCCAAUGCAUGCAUGUAUGUUCAUAAGAAACGGAAAUUUAAAAAUGUUUAACUCCCAAACCGUUUACUCAAUUUAAGUUUCGUCUUCACGGUUAAUUUUGUCUCGACGAGAUCUUCAAAAUGAGAUCUUAUCUUAAUACGUUACGAUUUCCGUUUAAUUUUAACUCUGAAACCACGACACGGGAAUAACCUCUAAAAAAACUAAAAACACCCGGAAAAAAAAGAAAAUUCCCACAUUUCCGCCCGCCGUCGUCUGUCCUCCUCGCCGUCCUCCCACUCUCUUCGCUCGCCGGCGUAUCUGCUUGCGCUCCGCCACAGCGUGGGCCGCUAAAUACGAGGAAACCUAGGCCUAGGGCUCGAGGAGGCGGCAGGCGGCGACCUAGCUCUCCGACUCGGUGCCGGCCGCGACCUCGGCUCCCCCGCCACCGACCCGGCUCCGGACGGCGCAUGACUCCCGGAGUGGCGAUGGAAGCUUUUACAUGAGAGGCGAUGGGUAGGCACCUGCGCUGCCGCUAUUUCAGCUACAUGAUUGCAAUUAAAUAGUUCCCGCGUGCAGAUAUAAAGUUGCAGUAUGGGCUGACUUGGUCUGGGUCUGCUUGAAAGCAAUACAUGUAAAUAAACCCAUGGUGUGGGGUGUCCAGAUAUCACGGUUUUGGAUGGUGUCGAGCUCGAUGGCGAAGAUAUGGUUGCUCAAGUUCCCAUUGUCUAGGGAGUUCAUGAAACCCAAGUAUUGGGAGCCCAGUGCAUCUGAGAAGUUCGUUCUUGGGGCAAUGAUGAAAGCCAUGCCA